AGCCCAACUCCAAAAAGACCCAGUCCCGGUGUGCUGGGGGCCACUACCGGCCUCACACCAUCCACGGGCACCUCUUAAUGUUUUCACGCCAGGACCGGGUCUUCUUGGAGUUGGGCUGCUUCAGAAUGCAGCCCAAAGCUGGUGGUAAACUCCAUCUAAGGCUAAAUACUGGCACAAGACCGACAGUCAACAAGUACCUUAAGG
rnacentral:ncRNA from 1 species